rnacentral:tRNA from 1 species
AGUCGUGUAGUACCGUAGUGGUUACGCGCCCGUAAAGAGACCAGGUGGUCGCGAGUUCGAAUCCCCCCACGACGA